rnacentral:rRNA from 1 species
GACGAACGCUGGCGGCGUGCUUAACACAUGCAAGUCGAACGGAAAGGCCCUGCUUUGGUGGGGUGCUCGAAUGGCGACCGGGUGAGUAACACGUGAGUAACCUGCACCCGACUUUGGGGUAACUUCAGGACACUGGGGCUAAUACCGGAUAGGAGAUUCUGCUGAAGGUGGGGGGGUGGAAAGUUUCGGCGGUUGGGGAUGGACUCGCGGCUUAUCAGCUUGUUGGUGGGGGGGUGGCUAACCACGGCAUCGACGGGGAGCCGGCCUGAGAGGGUGUCCGGCGACAUUGUGACUGUGAUACGGCCCAGACUCCUACGGGAGGCAGCAGUGUGGAAUAUUGCACAAUGGGCGGAAGCCUCAUGCAGCAACGCCGCGUGCGGGAUGACGGCGUUCGUGUUGUAAACCGCUUUCUCCUUUGACGAAGCGUGAGUGACGGUAAUUGGUAAAGAAGCACCGGCUAACUACGUG